rnacentral:rRNA from 1 species
UACGUAGGGGGCAAGCGUUGUCCGGAAUUAUUGGGCGUAAAGAGCUCGUAGGCGGUUUGUCGCGUCUGCCGUGAAAGUCCGGGGCUCAACUCCGGAUCUGCGGUGGGUACGGGCAGACUAGAGUGAUGUAGGGGGAGACUGGAAUUCCUGGUGUAGCGGUGGAAUGCGCAGAUAUCAGGAGGAACACCAAUGGCGAAGGCAGAUCUCUGGGCCGUAACUGACGCUGAGGAGCGAAAGCGUGGGGAGCGAACAGG